GAAAGAGCAUACUGUACAUGAUGUAAUAGGUGGAAUCAGAGCGAGUAAAUCAUGAAAAAAAACAGGUGAAUUGAUUAAGAUGAAGAGGGUAAUAGGUUGAGAAAACUUAUGGUUAAAACAAGCAUAUAAAUUUAAGGUACAUGAUUGCACAAGUAUACAAUACAGAGAAGAAAAAAAUAAAAUUUGUGAUUCCACUAUGAAGGUUUUGUUCACGGAUAAGACUAGGAAAAGUUUUAC
rnacentral:misc_RNA from 1 species